UGAAUUUUGAUUUAUUUAAUUAUUUAAGGUGUUAUGUCAAUUUGUAGUUCGGUUAGAUGAUGGGAAACUAAUGUAUCGCAAGGAUUAAUUUAAGAAAGAUAUUUUUUUAACACGACAGACUUAUGAAGGACUUGGAAUAAUCAUACAGUCAAAACAAUAGACUUGUUGAAUAGUUGAAUAUACUUUUUAUAAAUGUGAAUUUUUGUAUGUUCUAACACUUAACAGCCAAGUGUAAUGAAGACAAUUUGGAAAAUAACAAGAUAAAUUGCAAGUCCAAAUGAUCACCUGUCCGUCCUGACCACACCAACAUUUCUCCGACUAUACUGAAUGCUAUCUAUAUAUUCAAUUAUAAAACCUCCUAAGUCCUAAGACAGGAAACUGUAUAGUAAAUGAUGAGUAUUCCGUAUUCCUAAUAUAUCAUUGUCAGAUUUAAAAGAGAUUAUUAAAGAUCCAGCAAAUAGUUCUGAAAGAAUAAUUAAAAAAAUAAAUAGAUACAAUUGUUCAGGAAGAUUGUUGGGACCUAGAUGAUAUUCUAUUAGAAUAUAAUUAUGCUGAUUCUAACGUAUAUGUUUGUGUCAUUUAUUUUUUGACUGGAUAACUAUUUAACAUUAAACUAUAUUUAAUUUAAAAGCAGGUACUUAUUUAAUUGCUUAUUAUGUAUAUAUUUAUAUUUUUUAC